GCUGUGUUUGCUCUGGUAAGGAGGCCUCUUGCGCAGCAGGUGCUCCCAACCCCCAGCUCCAACUCCAACCGAAACACACACGCACACACACACACUAAGCACGUGCCCAAGUCAACAAAGGACGUUUAUGGCUUCUGGUGAAAGAUCCCACCCCUUCCACUUUACCUCUAAACCACAACACUGUUCCUAUAGGCCGGCUCCCUGUAGGCAGUGCCAGCCGGUAGUGCCAGAGCUUCUGCACUGCCCCCCUUGCCCUCAGCCUUUAAAAGACAGAGCACCUAGUCACACUGACAUUAUACACCCUCACACUCUCUCACACACACUCACACACACUCUUUGAGAAUAACUCUGUCUGGUGUGGGAGCGCUGCUGCUGCUGGAACACUAUAAGAGGAACACUGCACUGACUGACUGACAGCUGGUAUACCUGUGUCUGCUCUGCUCUUCUGAGAAAAGAAUAUUAAACCUGAUCCAAUCUCCAUCUUUACCAAUCAACACAUCUAUCUUAUCCCUCGACCAAUCGAAAACUUCUGUAUCUUUCGUCACUCCCUCCCUGUUAGAGCCAUGGUUCUGUGUGAGGAUCUGGAGUGUGGCGUGUGUUUCCAGAGGUACUCCCGCAGCGAGCGAGUUCCCAGAAUGCUCUUCUGCCACCACACCUUCUGCACCACCUGUCUGGAGAAGAUAGCGGUGGAGCGCAGCAGCAUGAUGAACAUUCGGUGCCCGAUGUGUCGCCAGGUGUCCUGUGUGCGCGGCGGGCUCAGCCUGCAGGAGGCACUGUGGGUCAACAGUCGGCUGUGGGACGGCAUUAGCGAGGACCAGGACCAGGAGGAGGAGGAGCUAAGCAGCGUCGCGGCAGCAGCACAAACUGAAUGUGGGUUAAGGCCGAGCCCCAAGCCACAUCGACCCAAACUCCACCUGCCUGCUUUCCUGAAGAAACUGAGUUUCCCCCGGCAGCCCCAGGAGAGCAUCGUUCCUGGAUGUAAUGUGUAAGUACUGCUCUUAAUGCUGCAUUAACUCUAGAAUGCAGUUAUUACUUCAGCUGAUGAUGCAGAGUAAAGCUAUGCGUAUAAAGUUAUGCAGUCAAUACAUUUCCCCAUCUCAGCCAUGUGCAGGUUGAUCACAAUACCAGUCAGACAUAUGGGUCGUCUGUCUGAAGCCUGCAUUCCUUAGUGACCAAUCAGAGCAUUAGAGACGUACAGUGAUCAGCUUGUAUCUCUAGCUCAGUGUUUUAUUGGAUCUGUAGUAUGAGGUAUAUUAUGUAGUCAACAAACAAGAAGGUGGAGAUGCUGUUUGCAUAAGAGCUCGGCACAUGCUUGGAAUGUGUUUUGCUGCAAUGGACACAGUGUUGUAAUGUGAGAUUCAAAACAAAACUGAAUUGUAGUGUGACUGAUGUUUAUGACAAUUAUUGUGGUGACACAGUGGCAAGGAAAAACUCCCUUACAUUAAGACAUUUUUUUUAAAAGCUGUGUAUAAAAAAAAUGAAAAAAAAAAAAAAACAGACACAGCAGUGCUGCUGGAGUUUUUAAACAUCUCUUGGCCGUGUCCUGCAACUAUCAAUCAGAGACGAGAGGAUGAGUAACUCUGUAAACUGUGCAGCAACAGAUUUAGAGCUGUAUUCAGAGCUGAAAUGUGAAAAAUAAUAAAAUAUACAGAGAAACAGAUACA
ensembl:lncRNA